GGUUAAAGGAAAUCCAGAAAAAGAAUAGAGUCUAUAGAGUCUCAUAGACCGCGGUUGUGAAGGAUGAGAAGACGUAGUUGAUGAUCAACAAUGUCAAAAGCAGCAUAUUAGUCAAAAAGAAUUAGAAGUGACCACAGGAAUUAGGUAAUUGGAAACUUUGGUCAGGGCUGUUUCGACAGAGUGAUGAGUGCGGGAUCCAGAUUGAAGCAGGUCAAGUUAAAUGCAAG